rnacentral:pre_miRNA from 1 species
AAAAUACCCCCUCCGUCCAAAAAAGCUUGUCCCAAGUUUGUCCUUCAAAUGGAUGUAUCUAGCACUAACUUGGUGCUAGAUACAUCCAUUUGAGGGACAAGCUUUUUUGGACGGAGGGAGUCCUCA